GUCCGGGACAGACGGCGAGGGCGCUUCCCCUGCAGCCAGCCGGAAGGAUGGGGCUCUGGAGGGGCUGAGCCGGCGGUGAUCCUGGCGGGCAGCCUGCAUGCCGGGGGCUUCUCACCUCGCCGGGCUGUGCACACCUCGGGUGGGCUCUGGCCCCGGGACCCUGGAGCAGCAGGGGGAAGGAAGCCUGGCGAUCCAGAGCCCACGGAGGAGACCGUGUUCUGACUCCUGUCAGGUGCCAGGCCCCGCCCUCGGAUCCCCGGAUCCUCGCUCUUGGGGGGAUUCUCAUGACUUCAGAAGCCUUGACGCCCAGGGGUGGUGGGCACAGCCACAGAGAGGCAGCAAGUGGAAUUCUGGGCAAUUCUGCCUCUCCCAGGUACUUGCUGCCUCUUCACACACCCACAACCCCACCUCCACCCCACCCCCCCGGAUCCAUCCUCCACAUGGCAGCCUGGUGAACCUGGCCAGGUCACACAAGGAGGAGGCCCUCUGAACAAAACCUAAAACGCCCUACCCCUUGGCCUUGGCCUUACCCCUCCCCCAGCUCCUUCUGUGCAGUGGUGCUCACCGCAGGCCUGGCUUGCCCUGCUCCACACAUGCUAGCAGCAGACGGCACUUCUUCCACCCAUACGAUGCUCAAUGGGACAGAAAGACGGUGUGGAGAGAGCAGUGCUCCCCCAAAUAACCCAGGACUGAGGAAAGUGUGAUAAUCCUUGCUAAAUUCUACCUGGCAGCUCACUGCCACCCACUGCCCCAGGAGCUUUGAUGAUGAUUUUAAAAAUUUAUUUUUGGCUG
ensembl:lncRNA